ensembl:lncRNA
UUGCAUUCCAGUCCACUAGAAUGAAAAGGACAUCUUUUUUGGGUAUUAGUUCUAGAAGCUCUUGUAGGUCGUCUUAGAACCAGCUGUUCACCAUUAGCUUCUUCAGCAUUACUGGUCAAGGCAUAGACUUGAAUUACUGUGAUAUUGAAUAGUUUGCCUUGGAAAUGAACAGGGAUCAUUCUGUCGUUUUUGAGAUUGCAUCCAAGUACUACACUUUGGACUCUUUUGCUGAAUACUCCAUUUCUUCUGAGGGAUUCUUGCCCAUCAUAGUAGAUAUAAUGGUCAUCUGAGUUAAAUUCACACAUUCUAGUCCAUUUUAGUUCAUGAUUCCUAAAAUGUCGAUAUUCCCUCUUGCCAUCUCCUGUUUGGCCACUUCCAAUUUGCCUUGAUUAGUGGACCUAACAUUCCAGGUUGCUAUGCGAUAUUACUCUUUUUGGCAUUGGACUUUACUUCCAUCACCAGUCACAUCCACAACUGGGUGUUGCUUUUGCUUUGGCUCUGUCUCUUCAUUCUUUCUGGAGUUAUUUCGCCACUGAUCUCCAGCAGCAUAUUGGGCACUUACCGACCUGGGGAGUUCAUCUUUCAGUGCUCUAUCUUUUUGUUUUUCAUACUGUUCAUGGGGUUCUCAAGCGAGGAAUCCUGAAGUGGUUUGCCAUUCCCUUCGACAGUGGACCACGUUUUGCAGAACUCUCCACCAUGACCCUUCCGUAGUCCAAAUGAUUAGAUGGGUUAGUUUUCUGUGAUUGUGCUUUUCAGUCUAUCUGACCUCUGAUGGAGAAGAAUAAGAGGCUUAUGGAAAUCACUGAUGAACAUAGAUGCAAAAAUCCUUAACAAAAUUCUAGUAAACAUAAUCCAAAAACAUAUUUAAAAGAUCAUACAUAACGACCAAGUGGGCUUUACCCAGGGAUGCAAGGAUUCUUUAAUAUCCACAAAUCAAACAAUGUGAUACAUCACAUUAACAAAUUGAGAGAUAAAAACCAUAUAAUUAUCUCAAUAGAUGCAGAGAAAGCCUUUGACAAAAUUCAACACCCAUUUAUGAUAAAAACCCUCCAGAAAGCCGGCAUAGAAGGAACAUACCUCAACAUAAUAAAAGCUAUAUAUGAUAAACCCACAGCAAACAUUAUCUUCAAUGGUGAAAAAUUGAAAGCAUUUGCCCUAAAGUCAGAAACAAAAUAAGGGUGCCCACUCUCACCACUACUAUUCAACACACGUUUGGAAGUUUUAGCCACAGCAAUCAGAGAAGAAACAGAAAAAAAGGAAUCCAGAUUGGAAAAGAAGUAAAACUCUCUUGCAGAUGACAUGAUCCUCUACAAACAAAGCCCUAAAGACUCAACUAGAAAAUUACUAGAGAUAAUUAAUACUGAAAUCAGAUUGAUUAUAUUCUUUGCAGUCAAAGAUGGAGAAGCUCUAUACAGUCAGUAAAAACAAGACCGGGAGCUGACUGUGGCUCAGAUCAUGAACUCCUUAUAGCCAAAUUUAGACUUAAAUUGAAGAAAGUAGGGAAAACCACUAGACAAUUCAGGUAUGACCUAAAUCAAAUCCCUUAUGAUUAUACAGUGGAAGUGAGAAACAGAUUUAAGGGACUAGAUCUGAUAGACAGAGAGCUUGAUGAACUAUGGACUGUUAUUUGUGACAUUGUACAGGAGACAGAGAUCAGGACCAUCCCCAUGGAAAAGAAAUGCAAAAAAGCAUUUUAAAAUGGCUGUCUGGGGAGGCCUUACAAAUAGCUGUGAAAAGGAGAGAAGUGAAAAGCAAAGGAAAAAAGGAAAGAUAUACGCAUCUGAAUGCAGAGUUCCAAAGAAUAGUAAGGAAAGAUAAAAAAGCCAUCCUCAGCAAUCAAUGCAAAGAAAUAGAGGAAAACAACAGAAUGGGAAAGACUAGAGAUCUCUUCAAGUAAAUUGGAGAUACCAAGGGAACAUUUCAUGGAAAGAUGGACUCAAUAAAGGACAGAAACGGUAUGGACCUAACAGAAGCAGAAGCUAUUAAGAAGAGGUGGCAACAGUACACAGAAGAACUGUACAAAAAAGAUCUUCAUGACCCAGACAAUCACGAUGGUGUGAUCACUCACCUAAAGCCAGACAUCCUGGAAUAUGAAGUCAAGUGGGCUUUAGACAGCAUCACUACGAACAAAGCUAGUGGAGGUGAUGGAAUUCCAGUUGAGCUAUUUCAAAUCCUGAAAGAUGAUGCUGUGAAAGUGCUGCACUCAAUAUGCCAGCAAAUUUGGAAAACUCAGCAGUGGCCACAGGAGUGGAAAAGGUCAGUUUUCAUUCCAGUCCCGAAGAAAGGCAAUGCCAAAGAAUGUUCAAACUACUACACGAUUGCACUCAUUUCACAUGCUAACAAAGUAAUGCUCAAAAUUCUCCAAGUCAGGCUUCAACAGUACAUGAACUGUGAACUUACAGAUGUUCAAGCUGGAUUUAGAAAAGACUGAGGAACCAGAAAUCAAAUUGCCAACAUCCGCUGGAUCAUCGAAAAAGCAAGAGAGUUCCAGAAAAACACCUAUUUCCGCUUUAUUGACUAGGAAAAUCUUUGAGUGUGUGGAUCACAACAAACUAUGGAAAAUUCUUAAAGAGAUAGGUAUACCGGACCACCUGACGUGCUUCCUGAGAAAUCUGUAUGCAGGUCAAAAAGCAACAGUUAGGACUCGAC